UGAUGAUGGAAUCUGCAUGAAUGAC
rnacentral:piRNA from 1 species